rnacentral:lncRNA from 1 species
UCCUCUCUCCAUUGUUGCAGCCACCAAAACCCUAGCCGCCGCCCCCCCAAUCCCCUCCUCCCUAGGUGCUACUCCGUGCCGCUCGAAUCAUCGUCUCUUGGUGCGAAUCUCCAAUCGUUUUGGUGGAGGGAUGAAGGGAGGAAGGAAAAGGGGAGAACCCAAGGUGAUUUUUCUUUUGUGUUCAUCCCUUGUUCAUUUGCGCUGCGAUUCAAUUGAUUAGAUGUUGUGUUUGCGAUUGGAUAGAGGGGGGCUGUCCAGAAUUUUGCGUGGUGGAUGAACAGCGGUAGUUCCAGCAGUUUUUAGUUUUUUUUCGUGAAGAUUUAAUGGGGAUAAAUUUGGGGAUCUUGUAGAACUUUGUUUUAUCUUUCCAACGAGUAUUUAUGCGCUCAAUUUGGAGUUAUAAAUUAAAAGUUAUCAUCAUUUGAAUCCGGGUAUGUGGCUGUCCAGAAAACAGAUUUUUUUCAGAGUGAUGAACAGCAGCAGUGUUAGCAGUUUCUGGGGAUUUUUCGGGAGCAAUUAGUGUUGAUCAGUAUGAGAAUAUUGUAGAACUUUGUUUUAUCUUUCCAACGAGUAUUUAUGCGCUCAAUUUGGAGUUAUAAAUUAAAAGUUAUCAUCGUUUGAAUCCGGGUAUGUGGCUGUCCAGAAAACAGAUUUUUUCAGAGUGAUGAACAGCAGCAGUGUUAGCAGUUUCUGGGGAUUUUUCGGAAGUAAUUAGUGUUAAUUAGUAUGAGAAUCAUGUAGGGCUUUUUCUUAUCUUUCCAACAAGUACUUAUGCGCUCAAAUCGGAAUUAUAUUUUAAAAGUUAUCGCCGUUUGAAUCCGCGUAUGUCGCUGCCCAAAUCAGAAAAAAACAGAUUGCAGGGUUUAUUUUGUGGACCGUUUAGAGGUAAGUAGAUGUUAGAAUUCAAUCAGGAGUUGUAUACAAAACUUGUGGGGAAAUUUAUGUAGUUGUCUCUGAAGUUUUUGUUUAUCAUCACUGCUGUCCUAAUUUUUAAGUUAUGGAAUUGUUAAGCAGCGCCGCUGCAGUUUGGUUAGUGAGGGGAGAAUUGUUACCGCGGCGGGGUUUGAGAUUGCGCGUAGGUGCGGUGUUGUCUUUGAGUUUUUUUAUGUGAAUUUGGUGCACUAAGUUGGGUGUCAAAAACAGGUGGUGGACUUCCGGAUUGUUCUUAGGGAUUUUGCCCGAACUUCGGUAAAGGCAAGUAAAUACAGUGGUGGUUGCUACCGUUUGGUUUGCAUCCUAUUCCCUGUCAUUGAGUAUGCAUAAGUUUUAAUUAUGUUAAUCAUUGAAUUCUAUGAUGAAGUUUAUUUGUUUGGAAGUAUUAAUUCUCAAUUUUCUAAUAUUGUGGAUGAUCAUAAUUUGGUAAUGAUAUAUGUGGUUGAUUCCCAUCUGGAUGAAGUGGAAGUGUCUUUUUGAAUCAUGUUAUAUGAAGUGUUGUAGGCAUGACAUGCACAUCGCAUCCUCCAUCUUGCAUUUUGAAGUUAUGUCGUGAUCUUAUGGUCCGACCGUACCGGUACAUUUUUAGCAUCGUACGUUGCCCGAGGAGGGGUACGAUGCGGCUUCAUAUCCUUAGAGGUAUGAAGGCAGAAGUCAUCCUUGCAUUUGCAGACAUUUGCACUCAUGAGGAAUAUAUGAAGUGUGACAUUACUAUGUUACUAUUGUGGUAUCUACCUGCGAGGUGUGGUAACUAGGUGCGUUGUACGUUGUAUACGUGCUGCACCUUCGUAAUAAGAAGGUUGUGGAAUUAAGUGGUGGUAAAACAAUGUUCUUAUGUGGUUAAACUGUUUGAUAUUAUUUUACUUGCUGAGAUGUGUCAUCUCACUCUUGCAUUACUCAAUGCAGGUACUUGAUAUAUGUUGGGAGUGAGGGGAGUAGCAGCACGUCCACUUUCACUCUCAUAAUAACGCUGCCCAGGCGCAGCCAUGAUUUAAUUAGAAACCUAUUGUCAAAGGAAGUUUGUUUAUUUUUUUUAUAUGGUCAUGCGCACUGGUUAAUUCAGUUCAGGUCGUAUGUUUAUCUUUCCUUGCUAGCCGAGUAAUAAUACUUAGUAUGUUUUAGUCAUAAUAUAUGUUUAUACUCUGUUGCUCCCGCUUUUAUGCAAUCUUGCAAAGGGGAUGCUGCCGAAAUUUUAUGUAUGGACGUCGGAAGUGUAGUACAGUAGCAUACCGGGUUGUUUGUGGAACUUGGAGUGUUACAACUUACCCGGUGUGAGGAGUCUACUCCUCUACCUCUAGACAUGCAGCUGUUUGGCUAAGGGGUUUGGUUUGCCAAAAGCACUAGCUUAGUAUAAAAUCAAGUUUUAGUUUUUCAAAUUUUAGUAUGAUCC